ACGGACGUGGGCGACUACCAGAUCAAGCUGCGCAACAUGCUUCGCUUCCUGGAAGAGGGCGACAAGGUCAAGGUCACCAUCCGCUUCCGCGGCCGCGAGAUGUCGCACCAGGAUCUGGGCCAGAACCUGGCCAGGAAGAUCCAGGAAGACGUCGGCGAGAACGGCGUGGUGGAGUCCUUCCCCCGCCUGGAAGGCCGCCAGAUGGUCAUGAUGAUCGGCCCGAAGAAGAAGUAAUCCGGGCCGGUAUCCCGCAAUGGCGGCCCUUGGGCCGCCGUUGGCAUUUCCGGGACCUG
rnacentral:misc_RNA from 1 species